UACGUAGGGUGCGAGCGUUACUCGGAAUUACUGGGCGUAAAGUGUGCGCAGGCGGCUGAGCAAGUCGAGUGUGAAAGCCCCGGGCUUAACUUGGGAAUUGCGCUCGAAACUACUUGGCUGGAGUGUGGCAGAGGAAGGUGGAAUUCCACGUGUAGCGGUGAAAUGCGUAGAGAUGUGGAGGAACACCAAUGGCGAAGGCAGCCUUCUGGGCCAACACUGACGCUCAUGCACGAAAGCGUGGGGAGCAAACAGG
rnacentral:rRNA from 1 species